CUGGAAAGAUCAGUUGCUUCAUGAACCAGUUCAGCUUUUGUUACUUUGUAAAGAAUUCUAUUUGAUCUCACAAGCUCCGGUAUUUGAGAAAUAUUGUUGACUGAAUAUGUCCACGACAUAAAUGGCGAGCUUGCCAGGAGUGGUGAAAAGGGACCAGAGACGGUGAAAAUCUACAGCUGCGCAUGGGCCUCUUGGACGAACUACACAAACGAGUGACCACUUUUAACUUCUUAUGGCUGAGAUCCCGUUAACGAGAUCGACUUGACAACAGCCAGUGGAAGUGCAGGGCGCCAAAUUCAAACAACAGAAAUCUCAUAAUUAAAAUUCCUCAAACAUACAAGAAGUUCCUGGAUUCCCCCAAGCAGCUGAUUGGUCGGCCCCAUCGAUGAUUGGAGGUCUGAUCCCUCCCUCUCGUUAUGGCAUACAGCUGUCGGCAAUUACCGACUCUUUCUCCAGCUGGAUAAAAGCCACUGUUCCUUUGUUCGGAAAGAGAGAGCCUCUUGGAGGGAAGGGGAAGGCACCGUGGGAGUGUUUAGGCAAGAGGCCUGUGGGAUUACAUAUACCCAUAGUAUGUACUCUGUCUAUGCACACUAGGACCUGAGCCCUAGGACCAUACGUCAGGACUACUGGGCAUGAUGACUCCU